rnacentral:rRNA from 2 species
ACGGGAGGCAGCAGUGGGGAAUAUUGCACAAUGGGCGAAAGCCUGAUGCAGCGACGCCGCGUGAGUGAAGAAGUAUCUCGGUAUGUAAAGCUCUAUCAGCAGGGAAGAAAAUGACGGUACCUGACUAAGAAGCCCCGGCUAACUACGUGCCAGCAGCCGCGGUAAUACGUAGGGGGCAAGCGUUAUCCGGAUUUACUGGGUGUAAAGGGAGCGUAGACGGUUUGGCAAGUCUGAAGUGAAAUGCGGGGGCUCAACUCCUGAACUGCUUUGGAAACUGUCGAACUAGAGUGCAGGAGAGGUAAGUGGAAUUCCUAGUGUAGCGGUGAAAUGCGUAGAUAUUAGGAGGAACACCAGUGGCGAAGGCGGCUUACUGGACUGUAACUGACGUUGAGGCUCGAAAGCGUGGGGAGCAAACAGGAUUAGAUACCCUGGUA